UGGGGAAUCUUGCACAAUGGGGGCAACCCUGAUGCAGCGACGCCGCGUGAGCGAUGAAGCCCUUCGGGGUGUAAAGCUCUUUCGGCAGGGAAGAUUAUGACGGUACCUGCAAAAGCAGCUGCGGCUAACUACGUGCCAGCAGCCGCGGUAAUACGUAGGCAGCGAGCGUUGUUCGGAGUUACUGGGCGUAAAGGGUGUGUAGGCGGCCUUGUAAGUUUGGUGUGAAAUCUCCCGGCUUAACCGGGAGGGUGCGCUAAAGACUGCAGGGCUAGAGUACGGGAUGGGAGAGUAGAAUUCCUGGUGUAGCGGUGAAAUGCGUAGAUAUCAGGAGGAAUACCUGUGGUGUAGACGGCUCUCUGGACCGUAACUGACGCUGAGACACGAAAGCGUGGGUAGCAAACAG
rnacentral:rRNA from 1 species